rnacentral:rRNA from 1 species
GAUGAACGCUGGCGGCGUGCCUAAUACAUGCAAGUCGAGCGGUAAGGCUCCUUCGGGAGUACACGAGCGGCGGACGGGUGAGUAAUACGUAGGAACGUACCCCAAAGUGAGGAAUAACCAGCCGAAAGGUUGGCUAAUACCGCAUAUGCUCUACGGAGUAAAGCAGCAAUGCGCUUUGGGAACGGCCUGCGUCCGAUUAGCUAGUUGGUAAGGUAAAGGCUUACCAAGGCGACGAUCGGUAGCUGUUCUGAGAGGAUGAUCAGCCACACUGGAACUGAGACACGGUCCAGACUCCUACGGGAGGCAGCAGUAGGGAAUUUUCCACAAUGGGCGAAAGCCUGAUGGAGCAACGCCGCGUGCAGGAUGAAGGCCUUAGGGUUGUAAACUGCUUUUAUCUGUGACGAUUAUGACAGUAGCAGAUGAAUAAGGAUCGGCUAACUCCGUGCCAGCAGCCGCAGUAA